ACAGGGACGCAAGAAAACUGCAGGCGGCCUCUGCACUCCGUGGACGGCAGUGUGUCCACAAAAAGUAGGCGACCCUAAGCUGUCACAGGCAGGGGGCGAGCUCCUCUAGUUGUCUUCAAAGUUCGUUUCGUCUUCGUAGGGCACGCGCCCACCCUGAAUCCCGCCUUUCCUCUCGUGAAGCUCUGCCGGGACAAGGCUGACGUGGGACGACGUGGGACGCCGUGGGCCGCGAGCACGCCCCGGCACUACUGCGGCUAAGUUUGGCCUUUCCUGGUUGCCGUCCUCCCCUACAGGCUGUGCGCCGUAGCGGCUGUUAUCCUUCUUUUCCGUCUCAGGAAAACAGCGUGCUUGGGUCUCUGUCGCCCAAGCUAGAGUGUGGUAGCACAAUCUUGGCUCACUACAGUCUCUGCCUCCCAGGCUCAAAGGAUCCUUCCAUCUCAGCCUCAGGAUUAGCUGGGACAACAGGCACAUACCAUCAUGCCCAGUGAACAGCCCUUCCUUGCUAACAAAAACAAACAGUUAAGCGAUGGCUUUGAUGCACUGAGCAUUGAUUGAAACUGAAACUUGAAAUCCUUCAGUGCCUCUGCAGAGCCUACGGUGUAAACUCCAAGAUCCUUGAUAUGAGUUACAAGAUGCUCUUUUGAGUUGGCAUUUGUCUCUUCUGGGCCUACUCUCCAUUCACUCCCCACCUCACAUGUAACACCUAGUAGCACUUAGUUCCUGGAACACAAUUAACUGCUUCAUGCCUAUGGGCAUUUGUUCAUGCUUUUCCCUUUUGAUUAGAAAUAAACCUCUGUAGGCCUUUCUCUUGGGCUUGUUCAGGUGGUCCAGUAGAAGCAUCCUGCAAAAUUGCCAGAGGGUAUGUGACUUUGUGGGCCUAUAAG